rnacentral:lncRNA from 1 species
GGCCUAUUACCCGAUUAAAUGACAAUUGUGUCCGAUUUGGCUCCAAAUUGCUCCAUUUCAUUUCUAAUAUUUCAAUUCACUAAAUACAAUUCCAAUAAUCUAAAAUUCAACCUAACAACCCUCACAAUUCUUCUUGAAAAUUUCGACCAUUGUGGUGCACUAUCACUAAAAAUUUUCUCAUUCCAUUUUCUCACCAUAAAUCAUCAUUUCAUCAAUUUUUCAACCAAUUCACUUGAUCACAAAAUCAAUUCAUUACUUCUACACUUCACAUAGGGUUC